UCUACCAAAGGAUAAUAGUAUUCCAUUGGUCUUAGGCACCAAAAUCCUUG
rnacentral:tRNA from 1 species